AUUGAACGCUGGCGGCAGGCCUAACACAUGCAAGUCGAACGAGUGGCGGACGGGUGAGUAAUGUCUGGGAAACUGCCCGAUGGAGGGGGAUAACUACUGGAAACGGUAGCUAAUACCGCAUACCAUCGGAUGUGCCCAGAUGGGAUUAGCUAGUAGGUGGGGUAACGGCUCACCUAGGCGACGAUCCCCAGCUGGUCUGAGAGGAUGACCAGCCACACGGGAACGGGGACACGGUCCAAACUCCUACGGGAGGCAGGAGUGGGAAAUAUUGCACAAUGGGCGCAAGCCUGAUGCAGCCAUGCCGCGUGUAUGAAAAGGGCCUUCGGGUUGUAAAGUACUUUCAUCGAGGGAGCGUUACCCGCAGAAGAAGCACCGGCUAACUCCGUGCCAGCAGCCGCGGUAAUAC
rnacentral:rRNA from 1 species